rnacentral:snRNA from 1 species
GUGCUUGCUUCAGCAGCACAUACACUAAAAUUGGAAUGACAGAGAGAAGAUAAGCAAGGCCCUUGAACAAGGAUGACAGGCAAAUUCAUGAAGCGUCCCAUAUUUUU